AUACGUAGGGUGCGAGCGUUGUCCGGAAUUACUGGGCGUAAAGAGCUCGUAGGUGGUUUGUCGCGUCGUUUGUGAAAUUCCGGGGCUUAACUCCGGGCGUGCAGGCGAUACGGGCAUAACUUGAGUACUGUAGGGGAGACUGGAAUUCCUGGUGUAGCGGUGAAAUGCGCAGAUAUCAGGAGGAACACCGGUGGCGAAGGCGGGUCUCUGGGCAGUAACUGACGCUGAGGAGCGAAAGCAUGGGUAGCGAACAGGAUUAGAUACCCUGGUAGUCCAUGCCGUAAACGGUGGGCGCUAGGUGUAGGGGUCUUCCACGACUUCUGUGCCGUAGCUAACGCAUUAAGCGCCCCGCCUGGGGAGUACGGCCGCAAGGCUAAAACUCAAAUGAAUUGACGGG
rnacentral:rRNA from 1 species